AUUGAACGCUGGCGGCAGGCUUAACACAUGCAAGUCGAGCGGAGAUGAGGUGCUUGCACCUUAUCUUAGCGGCGGACGGGUGAGUAAUGCUUAGGAAUCUGCCUAUUAGUGGGGGACAACAUUCCGAAAGGAAUGCUAAUACCGCAUACGUCCUAAGAGAGAAAGCAGGGGAUCUUCGGACCUUGCGCUAAUAGAUGAGCCUAAGUCGGAUUAGCUAGUUGGUGGGGUCAAGGCCUACCAAGGCGACGAUCUGAAGCGGGUCUGAGAGGAUGAUCCGCCACACUGGGACUGAGACACGGCCCAGACUCCUACGGGAGGCAGCAGUGGGGAAUAUUGGACAAUGGGGGGAACCCUGAUCCAGCCAUGCCGCGUGUGUGAAGAAGGCCUUAUGGUUGUAAAGCACUUUAAGCGAGGAGGAGGCUACUGAGACUAAUACUCUUGGAUAGUGGACGUUACUCGCAGAAUAAGCACCGGCUAACUCUGUGCCAGCCGCCGCUGUAACAC
rnacentral:rRNA from 1 species